GGACCGGGUAACGCUCCCAGAUCACCGCCGCGUAUCCCUAAAAAAAAAGACCGCCGCCGCGUAGCCUUUCGCCGCCGGGUUCGAAGGGGGAGCCGGGGCACGCAAGGCGGCCUAUAGCCUAGAGAGAGACUGGUUCGGCGGGUGCGGGCCAGCGGCGCGGCAACGUCGUGGGUGGUGGGGCGGACGCGCAUCUCUACGACGACCCGGACGCCGCCGCCAUCCCGGCGCUCCUCGGCUCCCGCUUCGACGGCGAUUAGGUCGACGCUCAAGCGCCUCCUCGCCCUCAUCUCGCAGGGCUCCUACGUCGCCCACCUCUUCCAGCAGGCCAUGGUUCUUCCAUCCUACCAUUAUCUUCUGAAACACACAUCAGUAUUCUUCAUACGGUGGUGGAUACCAGAGUGGUAGUACAACAAAAGACAUUGAUAUCCCAAAUGGAAGGUUGGUGUUAUCAUUGCAAAUGCUGGAGAAACUAUAAAGCUUAUCCAACUUCAAUCAGGGGCAAAGAUCCAAGUAACGAGGGAGAUGGAUGUUCAACCCGGGUUAGAGACAAGAUUGGUUGAUCUUUCGUGCACUCCUGACCACCUGACCAGAUAAGCAGAGCUGUGAUAUCCUUUUUAUCGUCUCGACUUCACAUUAGUUGUGCAUCCAUUUAUUCAACCAUGCUUGUCAUGUGACCUUUUGUAGGCUGAUGCUGGCCCAUAUGGCACUAUCUCUAAUUGGAAGUACAAUGCACCUCAACCUAGUGUUGAGCAAUUCCAGAUGCAAAUUGCUAACAAGGUAAACUGGGUCCUUUCUUGACGAGAUAGUCAAAGAUGUUCGGUGGAUUAUGAAAAUUUAUGUCUAGUAAAUGAGCAUGGUGGUUAUUAUAUUGGUGGAUAAAUAGAUCUUUAAUAAACUUGAAGCAAUUUGGAUUUAGUUAGGCGAUUAUGAUCUUGAACCAAAUUUCAUGGUGGAUUACGAGAUUUUGAUGCAUUCAUUUAGUUCAUUGCGAUCUUGAGGAGAUAGUCAAAGAUGUUCGGUGGAUUAAUUAAUCUUGGACAAUUUGGAUUUUGUUAGGAGGUUGUGAUAUUGAACCGUACUUCAUGAUGGAUUAUGAGAUUUUAGGUCGAUUUAGUUAUGUGAUUUAAUCUUGAGAAGAUAGUAAAAAUGUUCGGCGGAUUAUGAGAUUUUAGGUAUGAUAGAUGUGCAUGGUGAUUAUUAUAUUGGUGGAUAAAUAGAUCUUUAAUAUUGUUUGGAACAUUUUGGAUUUAGUUAAGUGAUUGUGAUCUUAAACCAAAUUUCACGAUGGAUUAUGAGUUUUUGGUUGGAUUUAGUUAGGUGAUUGUGAUCUUGACAAGCUAGUAAAAGAUGUUCGGUGGAUUAUGUGAAUUUAGGUCUGGUAGGUGAGCAUGGUGGUUAUUAUAUUGGUGAAUAAGUAAAUUUUUAAUAAACUUGAGAAAAAUUGGAUUUAGUUAGACGAUUGUGAUCUCGAACCAAAUUUCAUGGUGGAAUACGAGAUUUUAGAUGGAUUUAGUCAAUUGAUUGUGACCCUGAGGAGAUACUCAAAGAUAUUCGAUGGAUUAAUUAAUCUGAACAAUUUGGAUUUAGUUAGGCUAUUGUGAUAUUUAACCGAAUUUCGCAAUGAUUUAUGUGAUUUCAGGUGGAUUUAGUUAAGUAAUUAUGAUCUUGGGAAGAUGGCCAAAAAUGUUCGAUGGAUUUUAAGAUUUUAGGUCUAAUAUGUGAGCAUGGUGACUAAUAUUGGUGGAUAAACAAACCUUCAAUUUAGUUUGAAACAAUUUGAAUUUAGUUAGGUGAUUGUGAGCUUUUAACCAAAUUCACGGUGGAUUUUGAUGUUUGGGUUGGAUUUAGUUAGGUGAUUGUGAUCUUGACGAGAUAGUCAAAGAUGUUCGAUGGAUUAUGUGAGAAUUUAUGUCUAGUAGUGUGCAUGGUGGUUAUUAUAUUGGUGGAUAAAUGGAUUUUUAGUAAACUUGGAGCAUGGUGGUUAUUAUAUUGGUGAUUUAUUUGAUUGUAGGUGGAUUUAGUUAGGUGAUUGUGUCUUUAGAAGAUAGUCAAAAUGUGCGGUGGAUUAUGAGAUUUUAGGUAUGAUAAAUGGGCAUGGUGAUUAUUAUAUUGGUGCAUAAAUAGAUCUUUAAUUUAGUUUGGAACAAUUUGGAUUUAGUUAGGUGAUUAUGAUUUUUCAACCAAAUUCAUGGUGGAAUUUGUGGUUUUGUUGGAUUUAGUUAGCUAGGUGACGGUGAUCUUGAUGAGAUAGUCAAUGAUGUUUUGUGAAUUAUGUUAAUUUAGGUCUAGUAAGUGAGAAUGGUGAUUGUUAUAUUGGUGAAUAAAUGGUCUUUAGUAAACAUGGAGCAAUUUGGAUUUAGUUAGGCGAUUGUGAUCUUGAACAAAUUUCAUGGUCGAUUACGAGAUUUGGAUUUAGUUAGUAGAUUGUGAUCUUGGGUAGAUGUCAAAGAUGUUUGGUGGAUUAGUUGAUCUUGAACAAUUUUGAUUAAUGAGAUUGUGAUAUUGAACCAAAUUUCUCGGUGAUUUAUGAGAUUUUGGUUGGACUUACUUAGGUGAUUGUGUCUUCAGAAGAUAGUCAAAGAUGUUUGGUGGAUUAUGAUAUUUUAGUUCUAAUAGAUGAGGAUGGUAAUUAUUAUAUUGGUGGAUAAACAGAUAUUUAAUUUAGUUUGGAACAAUUUGGAUUUAGUUAGUUGAUUGUGAUCUUUUGAUCAAAAUUUACGAUAGAUUUUGAGGUUUUGGUUGGACUUAGUUAAGGUGAUUGGGAUCUUGACGAGCUAGUAAAAGAUGUUAAGUAGAUUAUGUGAAUUUAGGUCUAGUAGGUGAGCAUGUUGGUUAUUAUAUUGGCGGAUAAAUAAACUUUUAGAAACUUGGAAAAAUUGGGAUUUAGUUAGGCGAUUGUGAUCUUGAACCAAAUUUUAUGGUGGAUUAUGAGAUUUUUGAUUGAUUAGUUUGUUGAUUGUGAUCUUGAGAAGAUAGUAAAAAAUGUUCGGUGUAUUAAUUAAUCUUGAACAAUUUAGAUUUAGUUGGGUGAUUGUGAUAUUAAACCAAAUUGUGUCUUGAGAAGAUAGUCAAAGAUGUUUGGUGGAUUAUGAGAAGAUAGUAAAAGAUGUUUGGUGGAUUAUGAGAUUUUAGGUCUAAUAGAUGAGCAUGGUGAUUAUUAUAUUGGUGGAUAAACAAAUAUGUAAUUCAAUCUGGAACAAUUUGGAUUCAGUUAGGUGAUUGUGAUUUUAAUGAGCUAGUAAAAGAUGUUCGGUGGCUUAUGUGAAUUCUGAUCUAGUAGGUGAGCAUGUUGACUGUUAUAUUGUGUCACGACCUGACUCCGGUAGGAUUUCGCCGGCGUCGUGCUACAUCAACUAUGACGAGUGGAAUUAAAAUCGGGAGAAGAGAGGAAACAAAGGUAGAAGAAAGCAACAAGAUAGAAUAGACAGAAAAUGAGAGGCUAGAGUUCAAUAUCAAAUUUUCGAUAAGUUUCCCUCCUCGGGACCUUGCUUAUAACACGUAGGCUUACAUGACGCGAUUACACGACCCGUUGGCCCAACAGCUCACUCGCUCACAGCCCCGCAGGCCCACACUUCAUUUGAGUUUUCCCUCGUCUGCUUUACGCCUUCGUCAUGUUCCCUUUACGUCUUCGGGUUAGCGAAGCCACCAUCGCCAAUGCCUCAGGAAAUGACAUAUUGGUAGAGAAGUGGAUCUUUAGUAAACACAGAGCAAUUUGGAAUUAGUUAGGCGAUUGUGAUCUUGAACAAAUUUCAUGGUGGAUUACGAGAUUUUCAAUAGAUUUUGUUGAUUGUGAUCUUGAGGAGGUAGUCAAAGAUGUUCGGUGGAUUAAUUAAUCUUGUACAAUUUGGAUUUAGUUAGGUGAUUGUGAUAUUGAACCAAAUUUCUCUAUGAUUUAUGAGAUUUUAGUUGGAUUUAGUUAGGUGAUUGUGUCUUGAGAAGAUAAUCAAAGAUUUUUGGUGGAUUAUGAGAUUUUAGGUCUAAUAGACGAGCAUGAUGAUUAUUAUAUUGGUGGAUAAAAAUAUUUAAUUUAGUUCGGUGAUUGUGAUCUUUUAACCUAAUUUUAUGAUGGACUAUAAAGUUUUGGUUGGAUUUAGUUAUGUGAUUGUGAUUUUGACGAGCUAGUAAAAGAUGUUUGGUGGAUUAUGUGAAUUUCGGUAUAGUAGGUGAGCAUGUUGAUUAUUAUAUUGGUGGAUAGAGAUGAGGGCCACACAAGUGACUCAAGGCGAUGAUGCCACUACUGAAAAUAAUUGGUAAACAAGGCAACAUAGGUGGAGAGACUGGGGGUAGUGGCAGCAGAUGGACUUGAUCCAGCAUCCCACAUGCCUGUGCACCCUUCAUUCCCCCCGAUCCGGCUUGGUGUCCUUGUCCUGUUUGCGGAUUUUGUGUCACGCACUUGAUUAAGCAUCCAACUUUCUCCUACUGUGCGCCCUUAGCCUUGACGAUAGGUAGCGCCGUGUUCUCGGGCCCGUCCCGUGGGUAAAAUCCAGGUAUGUGCCGAUUGUUUGAGCUCUUGCUCGCCAUCGGUGGUGCUUGAGCGUGCGGUUAUGGUGUCACGCAGCAAGGGAACACGGGAUGUGGGAUCAAGACAGCACACAUAGCAACCCGCCACCAGGCAACGGAUGCCCAUCCGGACUUACAGGGUGCGGAGGUGGACACAAAGGUGGAUGUUGAGCUCCAUACCAGUCUCAAAAGUGUGCUCAUCAGUAAGAGCAGCACGAGCAAGAAGAUCCUGGAUAUACUUCUCUUAGGAAAUAAAGAAGCCAUUAGAGGUGAAAGAAACCUCAAUCUCAAGGAAGUAGCGACUUUAAACAUGGAGCAAUUUGGAAUUAGUUAGGCGAUUGUGAUCUUGAACAAAUUUCAUGGUGGAUUACGAGAUUUUCAAUAGAUUUUGUUGAUUGUGAUCUUGAGGAAGUAGUCAAAGAUGUUCGGUGGAUUAAUUAAUCUUGUACAAUUUGGAUUUAGUUAGGUGAAUGUGAUAUUGAACCAAAUUUCUCUAUGAUUUAUGAGAUUUUAGUUGGAUUUAGUUAGGUGAUUGUGUCUUGAGAAGAUAAUCAAAGAUUUUUGGUGGAUUAUGAGAUUUUAGGUCUAAUAGACGAGCAUGGUGAUUAUUAUAUUGGUGGAUAAACAUAUUUAAUUUAGUUCAGUGAUUGUGAUCUUUUAACCUAAUUUUAUGAUGGAUUGUAAAGUUUUGGUUGGAUUUACUUAUGUGAUUGUGAUUUUGACGAGCUAGUAAAAGAUGUUUGGUUGAUUAUGUGAAUUUAGGUCUAGUAGGUGAGCAUGUUGAUCAUUAUAUUGGUGGAUAGAGAUGAGGGCCACACAAGUGACUCAAGGCGAUGAUGCCACUACUGAAAAUAAUUGGUAAACAAGGCAACAUAGGUGGAGAGACUGGGGGUAGUGGCAGCAGAUGGACUUGAUCCAGCAUCCCACGUGCCUGUCCACCCUUCGUUCCCCGCUGAUCCGGCUUGGUGUCCUUGUCCUGUUUGCGGAUUUUGUGUCACGCACUUGAUUAAGCAUCCCAUGUUCUCCUACUGUGCGCUCUUAGCCUUGACGAUAGGUAGCGAUGUGUUCUCGGGCCUGUCCCGUGGGUAAAAUCCAGGUAUGCGCCGAUUGUCUCAGCUCUUGCUCGCCAUCGGUGGUGCUUGAGUGUGCGGUUAUGGUGUCACGCAGCAAGGGAACACGGGAUGUGGGAUCAAGACAGCACACAUAGCAACCCGCCACCAGGCAACGGAUGCCCAUCCAGACUUAUAGGGAGCGGAGGUGAACACAAAGGUGGAUGUUGAGCUCCAUAGCAGUCUCAAAAGUGUGCUCAUCAGUAAGAGCAGCAUGAGCAAGAAGAUCCUGGAUAUACUUCUCUUAGGAAAUAAAGAAGCCAUUAGAGGUGAAAGAAACCUCAAUCUCAAGGAAGUAGCGACUUUAAACAUGAAGCAAUUUGGAUUUGGUUAGGCGAUUGUCAUCUUGAACAAAUUUCAUGGUGGAUUGUGAGAUUUUUCAAUGGAUUUUGUUGAUUGUGAUCUUGAGGACAUAGUCAAAGAUGUUCGGUGGAUUAAUUAAUCUUUAACUCUGUGAUUUAUGAGAUUUUAGUUGGAUUUAGUUAGGUGAUUGUGUCUUGAGUGUGCGGUUAUGGUGUCACGCAGCAAGGGAACACGGGAUGUGGGAUCAAGACAUCACACGUAGCAACCCGCCACCAGGCAACGGAUGCCCAUCCGGACUUACAAGGAGCGGAGGUGGACACAAAGGUGGAUGUUGAGCUUCAUAGUAGUCUCAACAAUGUACUCAUCAGUAAGAGCAGCACAAGCAAGAUCUUGGAUAUACUUCUCUUAGGAAAUAAAGAAGCCAUUAGAGGUAGAAGAAACCUCAAUCUCAAGGAAGUAGGGACUUUAAAAUGGAGCAAUUUGGAAUUAGUUAGGCGAUUGUGAUCUUGAACAAAUUUCACGGUGGAUUACAAGAUUUUCAAUGGAUUUUGUUGAUUGUGAUCUUGAGGAUAUAGUCAAAGAUGUUCGGUGGAUUAAUUAAUCUUUAACUCCAUAAUUUAUGAGAUUUUAGUUGGAUUUAGUAGUGAUUGUGUCUUGAGAUGAUAAUCAAAGAUGUUUCGUGGAUUAUGAGAUUUUAGGUCUAGUAGAUGAGCAUGGUGAUUAUUAUAUUGGUGGAUAAACAAAUAUUUAAUUUAGUUUGGAAAAAUUUGGAUUUAGUAGGUCAUUGUGAUCUUUUAACCUAAUUUUAUGGUGGAUUAUAAGGUUUUGGUUGGAUUUAGUUAGUUUAUUGUGAUUUUGACGAGCUAGUAAAAGAUGUUCGAUGGAUUAUGUGAAUUUAGGUCUAGUAGGUGAGCAUGUUGAUCAUUAUAUUAGUGGAUAAAUGACUCUUUAAUAAAUUUGAAACAAUUUGGAUUUAGUUAGGCAAUUGUGGUCUUGAACCAAAUUUUAUGGUGGAUUAUGAGAUUUUUUAUGGAUUAGUUAGUUGAUUGUGGUCUUGAGGAUAUAGUCUAAGAUGUUUGGUGGAUUAAUUAAUGUUGAACAAUUUGGAUUUAGUUAGGUGGUUGUGAUACUUAAUCGAAUUUCACGCUGGAUUAUGAGAUUUUAGGUGGAUUUAGUUAAGUGAUUGUGUCUCGAAAAUAUAUACAAAGAUGUUUGCUCGACUAUGAGAUUUUAGGUUUAGUAGAUGAGAAUGGUGAUUAUUAUAUUGGUAGAUAAACAAAUCUUUAAUUCAGUUUGGAACAAUUUUGAUUUAGUCAGGUGAUUGUUAUUUUUCAACCAAAUUCAUGGUGCAUUUUGAGGUUUUGUUGGAUGUAGUUAGGUGACUGUGAUCUUGACGAGAUAGUUAAAGAUGUUUGAUGAAUUAUGUUAAUUUAGGUCUAGUAAGUGAGCAUGGUGGUUAUUAUAUUGAUGGAUAAAUGGAUCUUUAGUAAACAUGUUUGGAUGUAGUUAGGCGAUUGUGAUCUUGAACAAAUUUCACGGUGAGUACGAGAUUUUCAAUAGAUUUACUUAGUGAAUUGUGAGCUUGGGGGGAUGUCAAAGAUGUUCGGUGGAUUAUUAGUUAGGUGAUUGUGAUAUUGAACCAGAUUUCUUGGUGAUUUAUGAGAUUUUAGUUGGAUUUAGUUAAAAUUUCUUGGUGAUUUAUGAGAUUUUAGUUGGAUUUAGUUAGGUGAUUGUGUCUUGAGAUGCUAAUCAAAGAUGUUUAGUGGAUUAUGAGAUUUUAGGUCUAGUAGAUGAGCAUGGUGAUUACUAUAUUGGUGAAUGAACAAAUAUUUAAUUUAGUUUGAAACAAUUUGGAUUUAGUUAGGUGAUUGUGAUCUUUUGACCAAUUUUUAUGGUGGAUUAUGAGCUUUUGGUUGGAUUUAGUUAGUUGAUUGGGAUCUUGACGAGCUAGAAAAAGAUGUUCGGUAGAUUAUAUGAAUUUAGGUCUAGUAGGUGAGCAUGUUGGUUAUUUUAUUGAUGGAUAAAUAAAUUUUUAAUAAACUUGGAAAAUUUUGAAUAUAGUUAGGCGAUUGUGAUCUUGAACCAAAUUUUAUGGUGGAUUAUGAGAUUUUUGAUGGAUUAGUUAGUUGAUUGUGAUCUUGAGGAUAUAGUCAAAGAUGUUCGUCUCAUUAAUUAAUCUUGAACAAUUUGGAUUUAGUUAGAUGAUUGUGAUAUUGAACCAAAUUUCUUUGUGAUUUAUGAGGUUGUAGUUGGAUUUAGUUUGGUGGUUGUGCCUAGAAGAUAGUCAAAGAUGUUUGGUGGAUGAUUAUGAGAUUUUAGGUCUAAUAGAUGAGCAUGGUGAUUAUUAUAUUGGUGGAUAAAUGAAUCUUUAAUAAAUUUGAAAGAAUUUGGAUUUAGUUAGGUGACUGUGAUCUUGAAUCAAACUUUAUGGUGGAUUGUGAGAUUUAAUUCGGCUGCGCUCCCCCUCUUCGUCGAGGAGCAUGCGCAGUGCGGUGGUGUGGCUGCUCGUGCGGUGGGGUCAGAAGUUGGGGCGCCGACACCUGCAGCUUGUGCACAAUGGCGACUCCACGUAUCUCCUGCGCCCCGGAACCCUCUCCUUCCCGGCACAGCAGGAGCAGGAGCAAGGAUGCCGAGGCGGUUAAGGUGAAUGGUGCUUUAGCUUCAAUGACUAAUUUUAUUGCUAAAUAUUUUUCUCACUGGAAGUGUCAAAGAAUACACAACUUGUCGCGAGGAAGAGUAGGAAGAUCAGGCGGAGAGGGUUUCACAUACCUCUUCUACAUUGACAAGUCUUUGCUUUCCAGGAUUGCCAUGCGACAGGAGACUUGCUGGCUUCAAGAAGGAUAAGAAGCAGCUGGGCACUGAGAUUCACCACAAAUACAUCUAUGAAGGUCAUGUUGCUGACUACAUGAAGAGAGGGACGAAUCCGGCCACCAGCGCAAAAGAUCAGGGUGGAUCCAAGCCAUCACCGCCUCUCCUUUACUGCCUUGGAUGAUGGCCACCUCCCAGGUGCAGUCAAUGUGGAGGCCAAAAUCGAAAUUGCGAAAGAGAAGUGAUGCCUCCUCUUCUGUGCUGCUGCAUCAUGGCGCCCCUCUGGUGGCUUGCCUACUUUCAGAACGAAGAGGUGGCGGCAGGUGGAGGAGGGAGCAUGACGCUGGGCAGGACGCGGUGGAUCACAACCAGGUGAUAAUUGGGUGGGAGCAAAAAGGAGAGCAGGCAAUGACCCUCUUCAAAUUUGGCUUCGGUAAGGAGAGCAGGCAAUGACGCUCUUUCAGUUUGGCGUCGGUAAGGCCAGAAUGACAGGCCUAAGCUCCUGGUGAUAUCCUACUCCACUCAGUUUCUUCUUCUUCCAUGCCUACACAGCUCUAUCUUUUCUUAGUUUAAACCCGUCUAAAUUUCUGUCAUAUAAAAUCUUAUGAAACAAUGUGCUACUAUUAUUAUUACUGAACUAUGUCAAUCUGUUUCUUUUUUGAAGUGGGAAGGGAUGAAUUGAACAAGGAGGAAGGACAACGUGUUUGUUCUUCAACCAUUUCCCUCUGAAACCUAGCUUAGGAUUGUCCCCUGUUAAGUGUGUGGUUUUACCUGCUACUAAAUUAGUCAUGCACACAUGUUUUCAAUCUUCGACUGUUUCUUGCCUCUGAAACCCAAGUUAGGACUGUCCCUUGUUAAGUGUGUGCUUGUACCUGCUGCUAAAUUAAUAAUGCACUUUCAUUUUGGUUGCAGAAAAUUGGGGGAAAUCAUGGCUAGUGCAUAUGUGAACUUGGCCUCCGGUCAUUUAGUCAGCAUCGAUUGGCUUAGCUGCGCAAGUCCAUUGCUUACAAGGUGAUCUUGAUGAGGGGAAACAAGGGUGAACUAUGAAGUUUCAUGUUCCAGGAUGUGAUCUUCUGAAGAUGAUUGAUGUGCUGCAGUCUGGCGUUUGGCAUUUUGGCUUGGUCUAUGAAGACUACAGAUUUCUGUGGAAGAUCAAAAUACCUCCUAAAAUCAGAAUGUUCCUUUGGUUGGUGCUGUGGGAAAGCAUUUUAACUAGAGGGUGAAAAAUGUGAACAGAUUGUCUUUUCUGUGGCCAUAAAGACUCGAUAAAUCAUCUGUUUUGCUAAGUACAUUUGGAAUGUGAUCCAGUGUAGUCUGCGGGUUGAAUGUAGAUUCGCAGAUGCAAAAGCCUGUUUUAAUGGAUGGCUUAAAGGGAUGCACUCCCAGAGGAGAGAAGUAUAUACAGUGGGUGUAGCAGCUGUUCUCUGGGGGAUUUGGAAAGCGAGGAACUUGGCGUGCUUUAAUCAUAAAUGGCCUGUUGAUCCGUCUGUUGUUAUGUUUCGAGUGGCCUAUUGGAUUACUGACUGGAGUGUCUUGCAGGUGUCGGAGGACACAAAACCAUCACUUCUGGAGCAAGUCGCGGCUGAAGUUUAUGGCGCCAAAAGAAGCUGGGCGAUGGGAGCUGAUGCUGGGAUUGUGAUGUCUUAGGAUUGUGUUCGGGCUGCGUUCAUUUUCUUUGUUAGUGUUCAUGUUGUGUCUCCGUCCUUGUUAGACUUCCCCGGUUAUCUGCAUGUUGCUGGAGUUAAUUUCCUAGGCUGUUGUUCAGCUAGGGGUCUAUCUUCUCCCUUGGGUCAGUUCGAUCUCAGGGUGUGGAGUCGCUUUUGUGUGGCGGGUGGUUGUAAAGAAUGAUUUGGUUUCUUUAAAUGAAAUCGGGGGAAGCCCCUUUAAAAAGAAAAAGAAAAAAGAAUUAAAGAACAGUUAGCUUGUUUUAGCUUCCACCCCUUUAGAUGGUGUGGGAGUGCUUGUAACCUGACUGGUUAGCCGAGUAGAUCUGUGCUGACAGAGACACACUAUAGGUUUGCAAUGAUGCUGGCG